UACGUAGGGUCCAAGCAUUAUCCGGAUUUAUUGGGCGUAAAGAACAUGUAGGUGGUUUCAAAAGUCUCGUCUUAAAGCUCUGGGCUCAACCCAGAAUCUGGACGGGAUACUAUGAGACUAGUGGUCAGCAGGGGCAAAUGGAAUUCCCGGUGUAGGAGUGAAAUCCGUUGAUAUCGACAGGAACGCCGGUGGCGAAAGCGGGCCGCUGGCCCUCUUCUGACGCUGAGGCGCGAAAGCCAGGGGAGCGAACGGG
rnacentral:rRNA from 1 species